rnacentral:rRNA from 1 species
UGCAAGUCGAACGAGUUCUCGUUGAUGAUCGGUGCUUGCACCGAGAUUCAACAUGGAACGAGUGGCGGACGGGUGAGUAACACGUGGGUAACCUGCCCUUAAGUGGGGGAUAACAUUUGGAAACAGAUGCUAAUACCGCAUAGAUCCAAGAACCGCAUGGUUCUUGGCUGAAAGAUGGCGUAAGCUAUCGCUUUUGGAUGGACCCGCGGCGUAUUAGCUAGUUGGUGAGGUAAUGGCUCACCAAGGCGAUGAUACGUAGCCGAACUGAGAGGUUGAUCGGCCACAUUGGGACUGAGACACGGCCCAAACUCCUACGGGAGGCAGCAGUAGGGAAUCUUCCACAAUGGACGCAAGUCUGAUGGAGCAACGCCGCGUGAGUGAAGAAGGCUUUCGGGUCGUAAAACUCUGUUGUUGGAGAAGAAUGGUCGGCAGAGUAACUGUUGCCGGCGUGACGGUAUCCAACCAGAAAGCCACGGCUAACUACGUGCCAGCAGCCGCGGUAAUACGUAGGUGGCAAGCGUUAUCCGGAUUUAUUGGGCGUAAAGCGAGCGCAGGCGGUUUUUUAAGUCUGAUGUGAAAGCCCUCGGCUUAACCGAGGAAGCGCAUCGGAAACUGGGAAACUUGAGUGCAGAAGAGGACAGUGGAACUCCAUGUGUAGCGGUGAAAUGCGUAGAUAUAUGGAAGAACACCAGUGGCGAAGGCGGCUGUCUGGUCUGUAACUGACGCUGAGGCUCGAAAGCAUGGGUAGCGAACAGGAUUAGAUACCCUGGUAGUCCAUGCCGUAAACGAUGAAUGCUAGGUGUUGGAGGGUUUCCGCCCUUCAGUGCCGCAGCUAACGCAUUAAGCAUUCCGCCUGGGGAGUACGACCGCAAGGUU